rnacentral:tRNA from 1 species
GUGGUGGCUCAGUGGCAGAGCGCUUGCCUAGCAUGUGUGAGGCACUGGGUUCAAGUCUCAGCACCACA